AGGGAAGGCACGUGGGCUCUGGGGCAGGUUGAGUAGAGGGAGGAGGGGGUGAACCUUCCUCUACCUCCACCACCUCGAUCUCCCCAAGCUGAAGAGAUGAGGCCCCCUCAACCGCUGGCAGUUUCCUCUGGCGGUGUAUAAGAGGAGAGCCAGAGCUUUCCUCUUCGGUUGAGGGAGCAGCAGCAGCAGCAAGUGAAGUAGAGGCCUUCACCAAUCUUUUUCUCUUCCUUCCUUGCUCGGGGCCUUCAGCUGGCGCGACCGAGAGAGGAGGGGCUGCAAUGGG
rnacentral:lncRNA from 1 species